AGAGAUGCAGACUUAUCCCGACUUUUACGAAUGGACGUUGGGAGAUCUCUAAAAUUUCCGACUUUUGGAAAAACGUCGCGAGGUGUUUAACAAAAUAGCCCUAAAUUCGAUUCAGCCUCAUUCGUGCCUACCCCCUCAAAUCGAUUUUCCCCUCCCAACUAUCGUACAUCGCUUAAGCACCGCCACUGGUAGCUACCGUUCCUUGUUGUUCAUCUGCCCGCCGCUUAACACUACCGCAGCCGUCCGUUGCUCACCGUCUGCUAUCCGUAGUUGCCGAUCAUGUUCUAUUUAAUUUGCUACUAGAAAAUUGCUUAUUCUACCGCGAGAAAAUCCUCUCUACAUUUUUUUUCGUUUUCGAACCACRGUUUCUUCUUCUUCUUCAUCAGAGCAUCUUCCCUCUCGAUUUCGAUCGCCGGAUCGUCACCGGAAAAAAAACGGCACUCAAAAUGAUGAAUGAACUUGCUGGACUUGCCAUGGGCGCCACGGUGCUUCUCAACGUGAUGUUUGCAGAGUGUAGGCGCAUUCUUCUUCUCCCAACUUGUGCAUCACUCUCAAUUGAAGGUGAUGUACAUGUUCAUGUAAUCACUCUUAUCUCAACUUAUCAGGUCUUUCACGAACCCAAAGAAGUCGACAAUUAGGGAUGCAAUUAAUUGAUGGAUGAGCUUCCUUGUUGUGGUUGGUUUGUGAGACUUGUUUAAUUCUGUAAUUUGUGUCUGUAGGAAUUUGAACAUGUUUAAUAUAAUGUACUAGUAAGUUCGAGAAUACUUUGUUCCUACUAUAUUUCGACUUUGUUAUCUAAAUUAAUCUAUUUUA